rnacentral:sRNA from 1 species
CGUCGCGGCUUAGCGUGCAGGAUGAGAACCUGCGCAGGUUCGACUGAAUCGCUGGAGCGAUUCAGGCUGAUGCGCAGCAUCACCCGCAGGGCGAGGCCCUGGAUGGGCCGAGGCGUAUCCUGCACGACCCACCA